rnacentral:rRNA from 1 species
GAAUAUUGGACAAUGGGCGAACGCCUGAUCCCCCCCUGCCGCGUGUGUGAGGAAGGUCUUCGGAUUGUAAAGCACUUUACGUUGGGAGGAAGGGCAGUAAGCUAAUACCUUGCUGUUUUGACGUUACCGACAGAAUAACCACCGGCUAACUCUGUGCCAGCAGCCGCGGGAAUACAGAGGGUGCAAGCGUUAAUCGGAAUUACUGGGCGGAAAGCGCGCGUAGGUGGUUCGUUAAGUAGGAUGUGAAAGCCCCGGGCUCAACCUGGGAACUGCAUACAAAAAUGGCGAGCUAGAGUAGGGCAGAGGGUGGUGGAAUUUCCUGUGUAGCGGUGAAAUGCGUAGAUAUAGGAAGGAACACCAGGGGCGAAGGCGACCACCUGGGCUCAUACUGACACUGAGGUGCGAAAGCGUGGGGAGCAAACAG